GUGGGGAAUUUUGGACAAUGGGGGCAACCCUGAUCCAGCCAUGCCGCGUGCGGGAAGAAGGCCUUCGGGUUGUAAACCGCUUUUGUCAGGGAAGAAAUCCUUUGGGUUAAUACCUCGGAGGGAUGACGGUACCUGAAGAAUAAGCACCGGCUAACUACGUGCCAGCAGCCGCGGUAAUACGUAGGGUGCGAGCGUUAAUCGGAAUUACUGGGCGUAAAGCGUGCGCAGGCGGUUUUGUAAGAUCGAUGUGAAAUCCCCGGGCUCAACCUGGGAACUGCAUUGGUGACUGCAAGGCUGGAGUGCGGCAGAGGGGGAUGGAAUUCCGCGUGUAGCAGUGAAAUGCGUAGAUAUGCGGAGGAACACCGAUGGCGAAGGCAAUCCCCUGGACCUGUACUGACGCUCAUGCACGAAAGCGUGGGGAGCAAACAGGAUUAGAAACCCCUGUAGUCC
rnacentral:rRNA from 1 species